AAUGAACGUUGGCGGCGUGGAUUAGGCAUGCAAGUCGAGCGAGAACCCAGCAAUGGGGGACAGCGGCGCAAGGGACAGUAAUGUGUAGAUCAUCUGCCCUCAGGCCCGGGAAAGCUGCGGGAAACUGCAGGUAAUACCGGAGAGCAUCUCCGGAUCAAAGGUGUGAUUCCGCCUGAGGAUGAGUCUACAUCCUAUUAGCUAGUUGGCAGGGGAACGGCCUACCAAGGCGAUGAUGGGUAGCGGGUGUGAGAGCACGGCCCGCGUCAUUGGGACUGAGACACUGCCCAGACACCUACGGGUGGCUGCAGUCGAGAAUCUUCGGCAAGGGGUGCAAGCCUGACCGAGCGACGCCGCGUGCGGGAUGAAGGCCUUCGGGUUGUAAACCGCUGUCAGAGGGGAUGAAAUACAGGUGGGUUCUCCCAUCUGUUUGACAUAGCCUCAGAGGAAGGACGGGCUAAGUUCGUGCCAGCCGCCGCUGUAACAC
rnacentral:rRNA from 1 species